rnacentral:tRNA from 1 species
GGCGGGGGAGAGGCUGCGGAACACCUGAGACGUGGGCUGGGCUGGCUCAUAACCCGGAGGUCGCAGGUUCAAAUCCUGCCCCCGCUACCA